ACUUCGGGAAGACCACCCCCCUGUCCGAGGGACAGACCCUGACCCACCGGGCAGAGUGGUGCGAGGGAAACCGCGAGGACGGCUACCUGUGGGGGCUGGACAACAUGGUGGGGUUGGUCAGGAACAUCGCCAGGGACCUGCCGGAGAAGACAGUGGACAACCUGGACUCACCAGAGCAGACAGGAGACCCAGGACUGACCAUCAACCAAGACUGACCAUCAACCAAGACAGGCCAUCAACCAAAAAUGACCAUCAACCAGGACUGACCAUACACAAGGACUGACCAACAACCAAGACUGACCAUACACUAGGACUGACCAUCAACCAGAACUGACCAUCAAUCAGGACUGACCAGUACACGCAGGCAUUGCCCAGGACUGGACUGUACACUGGACACAGCAACACGCAUUCAGACUUCAACUAGUACACUGCACAAAACAGCACACACAGGCAUUAACCAGGACUGACCAACACAUCAUCAUGCACUCGCACAUAUUCACAUACGCGCACAUGCACACACACACACACACUGACACACACACACAUGCGCACAAACACACUUACACAUAUACACACGUGCACACACAUGACAUGUGGAAACACACACCGACACACGUGCACACACACACCUAGGACUGUUAUUAUUAUACUUUAUUUGAUUGUUAAAAGCUCUGAGAGAGUCGAUCGACUGAACACUUCCUGCCCCUUCCAGCCCACGCUGGCCACUACAGGGGGUGCACAGCUGGGUCUCGCACAGCACUACUGCAGUGUGGGCUGACUGUCUCUACAGGGGCUGAGGCUGUGAGGAGAGACUUGUAACUGCAGUUACAACUGGACAGAAUUGCAAACAAGCUGGCUGGGCGUGGAUUGACAAGAGAAGGGAGAUCAUCGUUUCGUUCUAGUUUUAUUUGAAAUGUUUACACAGAAGGAUUUUAAAGGACGUCAAGCUAGUGGAAUUAUUGUAGUGACUCUUAACCUGUUAUAAAGGAACAUCAGUAAGCAGGUGUGAUGUGGUCCUGUAGCAAGGCGGCACGGUCAGCAGGUCAGCAGGUGUGAUGUGGUCCUGUAGCACAGAGGCAGGGUCAGCAGGUCAGCAGGUGUGAUGUGGUCCUGUAGCACAGAGGCAGGGUCAGCAGGUCAGCAGGUGUGAUGUGGUCCUGUAGCACAGAGGCAGGGUCAGCAGGUCAGCAGGUCAGCAGGUGUGACGUGGUCCUGUAGUACAGAGGCAGGGUCAGCAGGUCAGCAGGUGUGAUGUGGUCCUGUAGUACAGAGGCAGGGUCAGCAGGUGUGAUGUGGUCCUGUAGCACAGAGGCAGGGUCAGCAGGUCAGCAGGUGUGAUGUGGUCCUGUAGUACAGAGGCAGGGUCAGCAGGUCAGCAGGUGUGAUGUGGUCCUGUAGCACAGAGGCAGGGUCAGCAGGGUCAGCAGGUGUGAUGUGGUCCUGUAGCACAGAGGCAGGGUCAGCAGGUCAGCAGGUCAGCAGGUGUGACGUGGUCCUGUAGUACAGAGGCAGGGUCAGCAGGUGUGACGUGGUCCUGUAGCACAGAGGCAGGGUCAGCAGGUCAUCAGGUGUGAUGUGGUCCUGUAGCACAGAGGCAGGGUCAGCAGGUGUGAUGUGGUCCUGUAGUACAGAGGCAGGGUCAGCAGGUCAGCAGGUGUGAUGUGGUCCUGUAGCACAGAGGCAGGGUCAGCAGGUCAGCAGGGAUUCACACAUGGGUAGAAGAGGAGACUGAUAAUCCAAUCACAGCUCUUACCUUUAGACUCACUGAUGAUGCAAAAAGCCCUUGUGGACAGAAGCAUGUUUUCGUGGUCUUUAGCAGAGAGCAUCAAUGCUGUAAUGAGAAACGGAACCCCAAUACUAUCAACGAUGCUCCGCUCAGGUUUGUUUAAAAUGUUGCUCACCCUUUCAGCAGCACUGACCAGCAUGUGUUUGUCACUGAGCGAGUCUUUAACAGGUAAUAAAGCCACACAGCCUGCUCUCUACUAGAUUACAUUCCAUUUUGAAAAACAUGUAGGUCAUGUUGAUAGAGUAGAACACUAAGUCCAGAUUACCGCUUUCAACCAGAGAAACCUUUUUAUUCUACUGUCAUUUUAAACCGUGUUCAUUAUUUACUCUCUUCAAUGUGUAAUAAUAUCACAUGGACACACUACCCUGUGUUCCAGAAAAGAAAACUGGGAAAAUAUAAAACUAGUACUAUUAAUAUUAUUAAUAUUAUUAUUACUGUUAUUUGUAACACUUAUUUAAUACAUGCAGAAUUGAUUGACAGAUUGCCCAUUGCGAUCCUGCUGUAUCAGAGCGCAUACUAAGCUUUCACUGCUUCAAUAGUGACACCUUGUGGCAGCAAUGUGAUACACCCACAAGCAGCUUCACUGCAGAGAGGCUGGGAGCGGAUUGAGGCUCAAGCUUCUCUGGUAGAGCAGGCAGCUCUUUUAGCAGGUGCUGCUCAGUGGGUUACUCUUUCAAACUAGUGCUGAGUGGCACCAGGGAGAUGCAAUGAACAAACAAAGAGUAUGUGUCUAUUUAUAAGAGGCACUGCUGUGUUUAUGAACACAAGAUGUAAGAACACUACUGUAUGCAUUCACUGUAUGUCUGUGCAUAGAGGUUUUGUAACGCUGAGACUUUGGAAUUCACCUAGCAACACUUUCCAAUAAAAUUCCAGAGCCAGGA